AAGUCGUAACAAGGUUUCAGUAGGUGAACCUGCGGAAGGAUCAUUAACGAAGACUUGGGCGCCCGCGCCCUUCUCGUCGUCCACCCUGUGCACCGAGACAUUUUUUGCGCUACAUAUGUUGAGGAUGAUAACGAAAUUAAAAUGGCACAAAAUGAAGCAACGGAUCUCUUGGCUCUC
rnacentral:misc_RNA from 1 species